rnacentral:lncRNA from 1 species
UGGAGGGAGUUCAAUCUUAUCUGUGAUGUCUUGUUGUUGAUACUUUACGACAGCACCAUGCUGUGUUUGUAGUUGUUCUUGACCAGCUUGGAGUGUUGGUGUUGCGUGCUCUCAGUGGGUAAUACAGCCUUCGAUCGCUGUGGUUGUUCUGUGCCCAAGAUGUACGGAAACCAAUUGAAGUGACGGGUCGACGACAUACCUGCCAGCUACACAACACAGGCACUGUGAAACGGUGGCGCAUUUCUGAUCUGCAUACAUACAACUUCUUUGUAAGACCAGCGGGUAACAUAUUUCACUCAGUGAAGAGAGUGAAAGUGACCUGUCAACCUGUGGUGAAGUGGGAGGAAUCAUAGCAGACAACGUGCAGCUAACUCCACCUCUGGCUGCUAAUUGCACUUGCGCCGCAAUACUUUUUGAUGGUUCAAGGAGUGCUGCCACGCAUGCUAUGUUAGCUAUAACAGUGGAUACGCUUGUACACUUGCGCAUACUGUAGUAAUUCCUUCGUUACACUUGUUAGCCUGUACGUGCCUCCAGACCACGACAGAGAUAUUGAGGUGCACACUGUAGAUUACAUGCGAUAACAUGUGAGGAAAGUUGAGAGUUGUGCGGAAACCCAUCUGGUCAGGAAAAACCUGAAGACAACUGAAAUAAACACCAACCAUGAAUGAAAGCAACAUAAAAGCAAAACGUCUUGGCUCUCACAUAAGUGCCUUGUUCACAAAGCUCCAGUGUGGGAACCAAAAUGUCUUGGUAUUAUGUUGCUUUUAUUCGUGGUCGGUAUUUGUAUCAACUGUCUUUGCCUACGAAGAAAAAAAAUAUUUGAAUCACAAUUUUUUCAUAGAUGCAUAGAAUUGGGAAUAGCUCAGCGAAAAAAUAAUUGAAUACCAUCUGCUUAUUUAGCUCGUUAUUAGGAAUGGUGUUUUCGUCAGUUUUCAAAGAUUGAAUGUGCAGAGGGCAUAUUGCUGUUGAAGCAUUCGAAUAGUGUUUUCAGAACAAAUUAAGCCAUUCUGUAAGAACUCCACAUCGUCAUUAUGCAUUUGCAAUUCUCCUGUGUGAGGUUUCUAGUUGUGUGAAGUGCAACUGCAGCUUUAUAAUAAUUUUUAAGGCUUUAUGUGCCACAACAACAACAAUGCUACAUGCCAGUGGCCAAACAGAUGAAGAGGAGGGCAACAAAAGAUAGCCUGAUGCGAGCUUAUUGUAUCGGCUGUGCUGCUCACUUGUAACCACUUGUAAAUACAUGUGUGCCUUCGAGUCUAUUUUUCUCAUAACAAUAUGAUUACGAAGCACGCCAUAGCAGAAAGCUCUCGAUUUUUUACCAGGUUCCUUUUUAUCCUACUGACAGAUUAUAUUUUACCACUCUGCAUCAUGCUUAUGCCUGUGAAAGUGCAUUGUAGAUAAGAAGAUGACAAAGUUUGUCCUCAGUGUUCAUGUGUAUUGUUGUUCUGUAAUGCUACAUUGUCAAUCACAUUCUCAACAAAGCACAGGCAAGAAAAAUAAUAUUAAGGCACAGAAAGACUCAUUUUUAAACAUCGUCGUCUACUAAAUGCAGACAUAAACACAUACCUAGUGCAAAUUCUUCAAAAUAAAAAUACUGCAGCAUUCUUUGCGAGAUAUGCUGCAAAAUUUUGUCUCCUUUAGCUUAGCUAUGUCACAAAUGUAGUGCAUGAUACCGAACAGUAAACUCAAAACCAUUUCCUAAUAUUUAUGGUCUCAUAUCACAAACGGCCAAAUGAUUGCUUGCUUUGGCUCAUGGGCGGCUUGACACGUAUCCACAAGAAAGGUUCAAGCUCUUAGAUCUACAGUAGUUAAUUAAAUACCUUCUCUCUGUCUCCAUUUGUAUGUGACUUCUCACUAGGUCAGAGAGCAGGCUUGCAUCUUGUCAAAUGACAUUUAACAGAGGUAGGUGUCGCUCUAAGUUUCCUUGUUCCUACCUACAGUGGCUUGCCUUGGAAUGGCCUGUCAAUACUCGUUUACUGUGCAUGUACUUCGUGAGUCGCACUUGAGAACUUGGUAGCUAGAGUAAACUCUGGCAGCAAUCAUUGUGGCUGCUUUUAUAAUAGCGCACAAACAUGGAACAUUGAUUAUUUUAACUGUUUAAGAAUAAAGCCAUUUCAAGAAAGUAAUUUCAAAGCAGGCAUUUACAAGAAAAUUCGAAUGUAUUGCUUCUGUUUCAUCUCGCUUGUCGACUGCACCACAAGUUAUAAGUGAUGCAUUUUUCUGAACAUUUAUGUGCACGUAAACUUUCGCCAUUUCAUUUUACCUUAUUCUCAGUGCCAUCUUACCCCAGUGCAUGGUAGCUGUAUUGGCUAGCGUCCCCAUGUCGGCAUUCAAUUUUAUUCUGUGUCUUGUUGAAAGUGCAAGCGUUUGAUUUGUGCAGACUCGAUCACCGUGCCCAGAAAACCUGGCCAGCCAGGACCUGGCCACUUGGGCUCCUUCAAGGGGAAACAUCUGCAGCAGUGUCACAUGUGUAGCUACUCUACUAAAAACCGCACUGACUUGCAGAGGCACCAGAGAAUACACACGGGCGAGCGCCCAUACAAGUGCUGCUAUUGUGGCAAGGGCUUCAUUCAGAAGAGCAACAUGGAUGCACAUGUUCGCAUUCACACUGGCGAGAGACCCUUUCAGUGCCACCUCUGUCCCUGGAACUCUGCAUGGCAGGUGGACCUUAAGCGCCACAUGAAAACUCAUAAAGGCAGGGACGGUGUUCCUGACAGCAGAACUUCCGAUUCCUGAUGAUGUUCCUGAAGACGGUGAGGAACAAUUUGCCCGGUGGUGGGAACUGUGAUGAAAAAGACUGAAGAAGCAUGUUUAUGAUGUGCAUCUCAUUCUGUGACUUGAACUUGUAGCUUAGAAGAGUUGAACUUGGGGCUAAGUGUACCAAUGAAAUGUGACACUGAACCACUUAAUCAGCAUACAGGAUGCUAUAUUAUUGGAGUUUGUGGGGAAUGUUGAAAGCAAUUCUUGCAUAUGCAUUUGACUAAGUGUGUAUGUGGCUGUGUGCAGUUGAUUUACGCACUUUUAUUUAUGUGCUUGAGCACAUCCCAAAUUUCUAUUAAAGGAACUAAAUUGCAAAGCACUGUUUCAUGAAUAUUUACUAUUGCUUCAGGACAGCUGCUUAAGAACAUGUCAUGUGUUUUCUCAAACUGCUGUUUCAUAUCACCUUUCACUCAUGCGUUCUCUGUGUGAACGACCUCAUGUCCACCGUAUUUCUGUGAUGUCUUGAUAGUAGGAUCAAGUUCAGUUGUUUGCUUAAAGAGUCUGUUGAAGUUCCUCUUCACCCACCACUUUUUUUGUGUGUGUGUACGUGAAUAAACAGCUUCGGGGACAUUGUAGUGUCACAUAUCAGGCUCCUUUCUAUGCCUUGGAAGGAUUCGCUUUUGAACCAUUUUUAUUGAAGGCAUCGGUAAACACUCGUGGUAUUGUAUAGGAAAAAAGAGGACAUAUUACGUGAUGAAUAAAUUUCAUGCUCUAGUUGCUCUAUAUUACAUGUUGUGCACGCCCUAUAUUUACGUUGGGUUUGGAACACUGCGUCGUUUUGUCAUGAUGAUGUAAUGCUCAUGUAAUCUUGUCAACGGUACCUCCACCAUGAACUCUUAGAUUGACAAUUACAUGCUCUUCAAGCUUCUAAGGAUUAUUAGUCCUAUUUCUUUCAAGUUGAGAUGCGAUAUGAUUUUUCUGAAAAGACAUAAGGAAAGACAGAAAAACGAAGCCAGGACACUGCACAGGCGUUCGUAGUGUCCUAACUUUGAAAUUGAUAGCUGGACAGAUACCCGUUGGAUCAAGAACAGACACAAAGACAAUUAAAAAAACACAUUGACUAUGAUUAAAGAAAAAAUAAAAGCAUGAAUGAAAUGUUGUGACUUCCGUUUUGUGUACGUGCUUGCACGCCCUGUCUUUUUAGAAUAAAUAGUUACCACC